rfam:Ignavibacteria bacterium 13_1_40CM_2_61_4 13_1_40cm_2_scaffold_87735, whole genome shotgun sequence.
CAGGGUAUUGAGCCGCGAAAUAAACUCAGUUCGGGAUGCCGACCCUUUAAUGGAGUGGGGAAAGCCAUAAUCGUUAUGCCGUACUGGCCAGGCAUGGCGGUAUCCCGCGAGGUCAGAGACCC